AUUGAACGCUGGCGGCAGGCCUAACACAUGCAAGUCGAACGAGUGGCGGACGGGUGAGUAAUGUCUGGGAAACUGCCCGAUGGAGGGGGAUAACUACUGGAAACGGUAGCUAAUACCGCCUACCAUCGGAUGUGCCCAGAUGGGUUUAGCUAGUAGGUGGGGUAACGGCUCACCUAGGCGACGAUCCCUAGCUGGUAUGAGAGGAUGACCAGCCACACUGGAACUGAGACACGGUCCAGACUCCGACGGGAGGCAGCAGUGGGGAAUAUGGCAAAAUGGGCGCAAGCCUGAUGCAGCCAUGCCGAGUGUAUGAAGAAGGCCUUCGGGUUGUAAAGUACUUUAAGCGAGGAGGCGUUACUCGCAGAAGAAGCACCGGCUAAGUCCGUGCCAGCAGCCGCGGUAAUAC
rnacentral:rRNA from 1 species